rnacentral:rRNA from 1 species
UGGGGAAUUUUGGACAAUGGGGGAAACCCUGAUCCAGCCAUGCCGCGUGAAGGAAGAAGUAUUUCGGUAUGUAAACUUCUAUCAGCAGGGAAGAAAAUGACGGUACCUGACUAAGAAGCCCCGGCUAACUACGUGCCAGCAGCCGCGGUAAUACGUAGGGGGCAAGCGUUAUCCGGAUUUACUGGGUGUAAAGGGAGCGUAGGCGGUUCAGCAAGUCAGAAGUGAAAGCCCGGGGCUCAACUCCGGGACUGCUUUUGAAACUGUUGAACUAGAUUGCAGGAGAGGUAAGUGGAAUUCCUAGUGUAGCGGUGAAAUGCGUAGAUAUUAGGAGGAACACCAGUGGCGAAGGCGGCUUACUGGACUGUAAAUGACGCUGAGGCUCGAAAGCGUGGGGAGCAAA